AUUGAACGCUGGCGGCAGGCCUAACACAUGCAAGUCGAAUGGUAACAGGAAACAGCUUGCUGUUUCGCUGACGAGUGGCGGACGGGUGAGUAAUGUCUGGGAAACUGCCUGAUGGAGGGGGAUAACUACUGGAAACGGUAGCUAAUACCGCAUAACGUCGCAAGACCAAAGAGGGGGACCUUCGGGCCUCUUGCCAUCAGAUGUGCCCAGAUGGGAUUAGCUAGUAGGUGGGGUAACGGCUCACCUAGGCGACGAUCCCUAGCUGGUCUGAGAGGAUGACCAGCCACACUGGAACUGAGACACGGUCCAGACUCCUACGGGAGGCAGCAGUGGGGAAUAUUGCACAAUGGGCGCAAGCCUGAUGCAGCCAUGCCGCGUGUAUGAAGAAGGCCUUCGGGUUGUAAAGUACUUUCAGCGGGGAGGAAGGGAGUAAAGUUAAUACCUUUGCUCAUUGACGUUACCCGCAGAAGAAGCACCGGCUAAUUCCGUG
rnacentral:rRNA from 1 species